rnacentral:rRNA from 1 species
GCAAGUCGAGCGGAAACGACACUAACAACCCUUCGGGUGCGUUAAUGGGCGUCGAGCGGCGGACGGGUGAGUAAUGCCUAGGAAAUUGCCUUGAUGUGGGGGAUAACCAUUGGAAACGAUAGCUAAUACCGCAUAAUGUCUUCGGACCAAAGAGGGGGAUCUUCGGACCUCUCGCGUCAAGAUAUGCCUAGGUGGGAUUAGCUAGUUGGUGAGGUAAUGGCUCACCAAGGCGACGAUCCCUAGCUGGUCUGAGAGGAUGAUC